rnacentral:rRNA from 1 species
GUCUUAAUUGGGCGUUAAGUUGCAGGGUAUAGACCCGAAACCCGGUGAUCUAGCCAUGGGCAGGUUGAAGGUUGGGUAACACUAACUGGAGGACCGAACCGACUAAUGUUGAAAAAUUAGCGGAUGACCUGUGGCUGGGGGUGAAAGGCCAAUCAAACCGGGAGAUAGCUGGUUCUCCCCGAAAGCUAUUUAGGUAGCGCCUCGUGAAUUCAUCUCCGGGGGUAGAGCACUGUUUCGGCUAGGGGGCCAUCCCGGCUUACCAACCCGAUGCAAACUGCGAAUACCGGAGAAUGUUAUCACGGGAGACACACGGCGGGUGCUAACGUCCGUCGUGAAGAGGGAAACAACCCAGACCGCCAGCUAAGGUCCCAAAGUCAUGGUUAAGUGGGAAACGAUGUGGGAAGGCCCAGACAGCCAGGAUGUUGGCUUAGAAGCAGCCAUCAUUUAAAGAAAGCGUAAUAGCUCACUGGUCGAGUCGGCCUGCGCGGAAGAUGUAACGGGGCUAAACCAUGCACCGAAGCUGCGGCAGCGACGUUUAUGCGUUGUUGGGUAGGGGAGCGUUCUGUAAGCCUGCGAAGGUGGCCUGUGAGGGUUGCUGGAGGUAUCAGAAGUGCGAAUGCUGACAUAAGUAACGAUAAAGCGGGUGAAAAGCCCGCUCGCCGGAAGACCAAGGGUUCCUGUCCAACGUUAAUCGGGGCAGGGUGAGUCGACCCCUAAGGCGAGGCCGAAAGGCGUAGUCGAUGGGAAACGGGUUAAUAUUCCCGUACUUGGUGUUACUGCGAAGGGGGGACGGAGAAGGCUAUGUUGGCCGGGCGACGGUUGUCCCGGUUUAAGCGUGUAGGUGUGUGUUCCAGGUAAAUCCGGUUCACUUUAACACUGAGGCGUGACGACGAGGCACUACGGUGCUGAAGCAACAAAUGCCCUGCUUCCAGGAAAAGCCUCUAAGCAUCAGGUAACAUCAAAUCGUACCCCAAACCGACACAGGUGGUCAGGUAGAGAAUACCAAGGCGCUUGAGAGAACUCGGGUGAAGGAACUAGGCAAAAUGGUGCCGUAACUUCGGGAGAAGGCACGCUGACACGUAGGUGAAGUGAUUUACUCAUGGAGCUGAAGUCAGUCGAAGAUACCAGCUGGCUGCAACUGUUUAUUAAAAACACAGCACUGUGCAAACACGAAAGUGGACGUAUACGGUGUGACGCCUGCCCGGUGCCGGAAGGUUAAUUGAUGGGGUCAGCGCAAGCGAAGCUCCUGAUCGAAGCCCCGGUAAACGGCGGCCGUAACUAUAACGGUCCUAAGGUAGCGAAAUUCCUUGUCGGGUAAGUUCCGACCUGCACGAAUGGCGUAAUGAUGGCCAGGCUGUCUCCACCCGAGACUCAGUGAAAUUGAACUCGCUGUGAAGAUGCAGUGUACCCGCGGCAAGACGGAAAGACCCCGUGAACCUUUACUAUAGCUUGACACUGAACAUUGAGCCUUGAUGUGUAG